rnacentral:rRNA from 1 species
AGUGAACGCUGGCGGUAGGCCUAACACAUGCAAGUCGAACGGCAGCACAGUAAGCGCUUUCUCUUACGGUUGGCGAGUGGCGGACGGGUGAGGAAUACAUCGGCAUCUACUUUUUCGUGGGGGAUUACGUAGGGCCACUUACGCUACUACCUCAUACGUCCUACGGGUUAAAUCAGUGGUUCUUCGCACUUUUCCUGUUUGUAUGAGCUGAUUUCGGAUUAGCUAGUUUGCGGGGUAAAGGCCCACCAAGGCGACGAUCCGUAGCUGGUCUGAGAGGAUGAUCAGCCACACUGGAACUGAGACACGGUCCAGACUCCUACGGGAGGCAGCAGUGGGGAAUAUUGGACAAUGGGCGAAAGCCUGAUCGAGCCAUACCGCGUGGGUGAAGAAGGCCUUCGGGUUGUAAAGCCCUUUUGUUGGGAAAGAAAAGCAGCAGGAUAAUACCUCGCUGUUCUGACGGUACCUAAAGAAUAAGCACCGGCUAACUUCGUG